rnacentral:rRNA from 1 species
CCUAGGGGGGCUGCAGUCGAGAAUCUUCGGCAAUGGGCGCAAGCCUGACCGAGCGACGCCGCGUGCGGGAUGAAGGCCUUCGGGUUGUAAACCGCUGUCAGAGGGGAGGAAAUGCAUGGGAGUUCUCUCUCAUGUUUGACCUAUCCUCAGAGGAAGUACGGGCUAAGUUCGUGCCAGCAGCCGCGGUAAUACGAACCGUACGAACGUUAUUCGGAUUCAGUGGGCUUAAACCGUGCGGAGGCGGGGGGGAGAAAGCCCUCGGCUCAACCGAGGAAUUGCGCCCAAAACUACCUGGCUUGAGGAAGAUAGAGGUAAGCGGAACUAAUGGUGGAGCGGUGAAAUGCGCUGAUAUCAUUAGGAACACCUGUGGCGAAAGCAGCUUACUGGGUCUUUUCUGACGCUGAUGCACGAAAGCUAGGGGAGCGAACGGGAUUAGAUACCCUGGUAGUC